CAGAGUUCUUUCCUAAAGCAAUGGUCCCUUCUCUGAUAGAAUCCAGACUCUCAAGUAAGUGAGAAUUACCAAUAUAUACCACAUUAAGUCUCACACUAUAGAUAUUAAUUUUUUUGCUAAUAAAUGUGAAUGCUUAUAUUUGAUUUUUAAAUUUUAUGUUUUCAGUCAUUGAUAGGACAUUUGGGCUUAGUGUUUUUGUGUAACAUUAAGAACAUGAAGUCACAAAUGCAGCUAGAGAAGAGACAAAGCAUGGGAA
rnacentral:lncRNA from 1 species